rnacentral:rRNA from 1 species
GAUGAACGCUGGCGGCGUGCCUAAUACAUGCAAGUCGAGCGAACAGACGAGGAGCUUGCUCCUCUGACGUUAGCGGCGGACGGGUGAGUAACACGUGGAUAACCUACCUAUAAGACUGGGAUAACUUCGGGAAACCGGAGCUAAUACCGGCUCAUAUAUUGAACCGCAUGGUUCAAUAGUGAAAGACGGUUUUGCUGUCACUUAUAGAUGGUUCCGCGCCGCAUUAGCUAGUUGGUAAGGUAACGGCUUACCAAGGCAACGAUGCGUAGCCGACCUGAGAGGGUGAUCGGCCACACUGGAACUGAGACACGGUCCAGACUCCUACGGGAGGCAGCAGUAGGGAAUCUUCCGCAAUGGGCGAAAGCUUGACGGAGCAACGCCGCGUGAGUGAUGAAGGUCUUCGGAUCGUAAAACUCUGUUAUUAGGGAAGAACAAAUGUGUAAGUAACUAUGCACGUCUUGACGGUACCUAAUCAGAAAGCCACGGCUAACUACGUG